rnacentral:lncRNA from 10 species
CUUUGCUUGGCACUUCCGCUUCCUGCCGCCCUGUGAAGAGGGUGCCUUUCUUUCCCUUCGCCUUCUACCAGGAUUGUUAAGUUUCCUGAAGCCUUCCCAGCCACGUGGAACUGUACUAAGACAUUUGAGAGAUGAGAGAAAGCAAAGGAAAAAACAACCAAAGGAAUACAUACUUGUUAAAAUCUACUUGAGUUCUAUUGAAGAGCUGUUGUUUCAGAAACUGCACUGGAGAAGAAGAGAAGAUCAAGACACAUACAGAGAGUGGAGAGUGGAGAGAGAACGGGGUGCCUGUGCACGUGUACCUAGAGAUGACCACCUGAGAACGUGGCAAGAAGGUGGCCACCUGCAAACCUAGGAGGGAGUCCUCAGAGGACACUAACCUUGCCAGUGCCUUGAUCUUGGACUUUUAGCCUCUAGAAAU